rnacentral:rRNA from 1 species
GUCCACGCCCUAACGAUGUCAACUAGGUGUUGGGAGGGUAAACCUUUAGUACCGGAGCUAACGCGUGAAGUUGACCACCUGGGGAGUACGGCCGCAAGGUUAAACUCAAAGGAAUUGACGGGGACCCGCACAAGCGGUGGAUGAUGUGGAUUAAUUCGAUGCAACGCGAAAACCUUACCUACCCUUGACAUGUCAGGAACUUGCCAGAGAUGGCUUGGUGCUCGAAAGAGAACCUGAACACAGGUGCUGCAUGGCUGUCGU